rnacentral:rRNA from 1 species
UACGUAGGGGGUAAGCGUUGUCCGGAAUCAUUGGGCGUAAAGCGCGUGUAGGCGGUCCGGUAAGUCCGCUGUGAAAGUCGGGGGCUCAACCCUCGGAUGCCGGUGGAUACUGUCGGGCUUGAGUACGGAAGAGGCGAGUGGAAUUCCUGGUGUAGCGGUGAAAUGCGCAGAUAUCAGGAGGAACACCAAUUGCGAAGGCAGCUCGCUGGGACGUUACUGACGCUGAGACGCGAAAGCGUGGGGAGCAAACAGG